UACGAAGGGGGCUAGCGUUGCUCGGAAUGACUGGGCGUAAAGGGCGCGUAGGCGGAUGGCACAGUCAGAUGUGAAAUUCCCGGGCUUAACCUGGGGGCUGCAUUUGAUACGUGUUGUCUUGAGUUCGGAAGAGGGUCGUGGAAUUCCCAGUGUAGAGGUGAAAUUCGUAGAUAUUGGGAAGAACACCGGUGGCGAAGGCGGUCUGCUGGGCAGUUGCUGACACUGAGGCGCGACAGCGUGGGGAGCAAACAGG
rnacentral:rRNA from 1 species